UGGCUUGAAGGUACCUAUUUAUAUUCCCUUGAUUUUUUGUUUUUGAUUAAAGUUGCAACUUUCUUGCCAAUUAUUUCAUGGCUACACUGCUAAAUGUAUGUAUUUGGGUAAUUUGUUAUGUCUGUCGACGUGUGUAUAUGUAAUUUGUUAUUAAUGUAUGUUUCUAAAAUACUUGAAAAAUUGUAAAUUUCUACUUUUAAUAUUUGGAAAAUCAAAUGUUGAGUGCUGCACCUGUCUGGUUGGCCAUUGAUAUCUCUUUGAUUUGUGAUAUCUCUUUGAUUUGUA
rnacentral:misc_RNA from 1 species